rnacentral:misc_RNA from 1 species
UCUCCAGGUCUACGGAAGACUUGAUCCCCAAUCUUGAUCUCAUAAGCCUCUGGUUGGUUUAAGAUGAACUCCUUCAAUUCAAUCAUGUUUUGACCUUUUUCCAUGGUGAGCAUGAUUGUGCUGGUAUCAACACCCAUGAACUUCACCUCAAUUGCCCCAGUCCUUAGAACUUUUGUCCAUUUCAUUGCAAUCUCAGCCACCAUAUCCGGAGUCCGGCGCA